UACAGAGGUCCCGAGCGUUGUUCGGAUUUAUUGGGCGUAAAGGGUGCGUAGGUGGCAAAGUAAGUUGGAUGUGAAAUCCUGGGGCUUAACUGGGGAACUGCGUCUGAUACUGGCGAGCUUGAGUGCAGGAGAGGAACGCGGAAUUCCAGGUGUAGCGGUGAAAUGCGUAGAUAUCUGGAGGAACACCGGUGGCGAAGGCGGCGUUCUGGACUGCAACUGACACUGAGGAACGAAAGCCAGGGGAGCAAACGGG
rnacentral:rRNA from 1 species